rnacentral:lncRNA from 1 species
AUUUGAUUAAGGAGUGUGGCUUGAGAAAUGGAAAAACAAAGAUGCCUAAACUAGCAGAAGGCAGGGUUCUUGUGGUCAAUGCUCAGGGACAGAGUCCAGCCCUUCACCAACUCUUCCAGCCCUUCACCGACUCUUCCAGCCCAUCAUAUCACAGGUAAGCGUCCAGUAAUUUUUGGGCCAAUUAAUCCUCCAAAACCUUCUCUAAAGAGCCAGUUCUUCUAGACACCAGAAGACCCCUAUGCCAUCUUGGAAGGGGUAGAGCUGCUUGGUUGGCCCUUCCAUGCCAUAGAAGCUUCCCUGGGGAAUACUCUGUUGCUACCCUCUGGUCCUACAGGUAAGAUGCUCUGUGGACAGAACCAAAACACUCAUCUCUCAAUCUAAUCACAAGGGAGUAGAAUUAAUCCAAACAACUCUAUGGAACAGAGAGAGCCAGUAGUAUUGUUGGGUGCUAAGUGGAAGCUGUGAGGGGAUGAUAAGCCAACUGUACCUUCUGGAUGUUCACAUUUGGAAGGAGAGAAUAUCUGCACAACAACAGCAGUAACCCACAUGCAGUGAUGUGCGAUCCCAGCCUGAGGGUGCAGCUAAGGAUCUGGGUGGAAGGGAAGAGCUCUUCAGGGAAAUCAAUAAGUCACCUAGAAAUUGCAGGGCCAAUUGAAAUAGAAUUUAUGGGCUGGGGAUAUAGCUCAGUUAGGAGAGUGCUUGCCUUGCAUGCACAACGCCCUGGGUUCACUCCCCAGCACCACCAAAAAAAA